UCAGUUUCCAGGGCCAUUCUAGCCCUCCAGAGCCGAGUGACAAUGACAAGCAGAACCCCACUAAGCACCAUCACCCCAGUUCACAGUGGGCCUGGGGAUUCCUCAGCUACAUCUUUAUGUCCCGACCGUCCAUCACCUCCACCGCUCCUCGGUACCAACUGUGUACACAUCCCAACUGCUCUGCUUUCAGGCCUCAGCGAAUUCUCUGGCACAAAAUUAAAUGUUCCUUGAGCAAA